rnacentral:rRNA from 1 species
GACGAACGCUGGCGGCGUGCUUAACACAUGCAAGUCGAACGGAAAGGCCCUGCUUUUGUGGGGUGCUCGAGUGGCGAACGGGUGAGUAACACGUGAGUAACCUUCCCUUGACUUUGGGAUAACUUCAGUAAACUGUGACUAAUACCGGAUAGGAGCUCCUGCUGCAUGGGGGUGUUUGGAAAUUUUCGGCGGUUGGGGAUGGACUCGCGGCUUAUCAGCGUGUUGGUGGGGUAGUGGCAUACCAAGGGUUUGACGGGUAGUCGGCCUGAGCGGGUGACCAGCCACAUUGGGACUGAGAUACCGCCGAGAAUCAUCCGGGACGCAGCAGUGGGGAAUAUUGAAGAAUGGGCGGAAGCCUGAUGCAGUAGCGCCGCGUGCGGGAUGACGACCUUCGGGUUGUAACCCGCUUUCGCCUGUGACGAAGAGUGAGUGACGGUAAUGGGUAGAGAAGCCCCGGCUAACUACGUG